AUUGAACGCUGGCGGCAGGCCUAACACAUGCAAGUCGAACGGUAACAGGAAGAAGCUUGCUUCUUUGCUGACGCGUGGCGGACAGGUGAGUAAUGUCUGGGAAACUGCCUGAUGUAGUGGGAUAACUCCUGGAAACGGUAGCUAAUACCGCAUAACCUCGCAACACCAAAGAGGGGGACCUUCUGGCCUCUUGCCAUCGUAUGUGCCCAGAUGGGAUUAGCUCGUAGGGGGGGUAACGGCUCCCCAAGGCGACGCUCCCUAGCUGGUCUGAGAGGAUGACCAGCCACACUGGAACUGAGACACGGUCCAGACUCCUACGGGAGGCAGCAGUGGGGAAUAUUGGACAAUGGGCGCAAGCCUGAUGCAGCCAUACCGCGUGGAUGAAGAAGGCCUUCGGGUUGUAAAGUACUUUCAUCGGGAAGGAAGAGAAUAAAGUUAAUACCUUUGUGCAUUGACGUUACCCAAAGAAGAAGCACCGGCUAACUCCGUG
rnacentral:rRNA from 1 species